UCUCAAACCGUAACACUCCAAAGAGAAGCACUUUCUUUUCUUUUAGACAACAGAAAGGGCUUCCCUUUGCAAAGUCACAGCAUGAGA
rnacentral:pre_miRNA from 1 species